rnacentral:piRNA from 1 species
UACCGUACCUGUGCAGCUGUUUU